rnacentral:rRNA from 1 species
UACGAGAGGUGCAAGCGUUGUCCGGAUUUACUGGGCGUAAAGCGUUUCGUAGGCGCUUUGGUAAGUCAUACUUUAAAGACCGGGGCUCAACCUCGGGAAGGGGUAUGAUACUGCCAGAGUUGAAAUAUUUCGGGGUUACUGGAACUAUCGGUGUAGGGGUGAAAUCCGUUGAUAUCGAUAGGAACUCCAAGGGCGUAGGCAGGUAACUAGGAAUUAUUUGACGCUGAGGAACGAAAGCUAGGGGAGCGAAAGGG